rnacentral:rRNA from 1 species
UUACGAGGUCAGGACACUGUGAGGAUUGACAGAUUGAAAGCUCUUUCUUGAUUCAGUGGGUGGUGGUGCAUGGCCGUUCUUAGUUGGUGGAGUGAUUUGUCUGGUUAAUUCCGUUAACGAACGAGACCUUAACCUGCUAAAAAGUCACGCGAACCGGUCCGCAAGGGCUCAAAGUUCGCGGCUCGACUUCUUAGAGGGACUAUUCGCACCCGCCAGCGAAUGGAAGUUUGAGGCAAUAACAGGUCUGUGAUGCCCUUAGAUGUUCUCGGCCGCACGCGCGUUACACUGACGGAGUCAACGAGCGUUUUUCCUUGCCCGACAGGGCUGGGUAACCUCCUGAAACUCCGUCGUGAUGGGGAUAGAUCAUUGCAAUUAUUGAUCUUGAACGAGGAAUUCCUAGUAAACGCGAGUCAUCAACUCGCGCUGAUUACGUCCCUGCCCUUUGUACACACCGCCCGUCGCUCCUACCGAUUGAACGGUCCGGCGAGAACUCCGGAUGGUC